UAGACUGAAUUGCACUUUUUAUCUUCUUAAGAAGGACUAAAAAAGCUGCGAGGCCUGGCAGGGGAUCAGGGAGGAUGAGUGUCCUGAGCAGAGAGGUAGGGUUACCAGGUAUUUCUGUUUGCCUUGAACUGGUCACAUAGCCCCAGUGCCCCUCAGCAGAGAGACAGGGUGAAUGAAGGAGCUGGUGUAGUCAGUCCUAGAGGAGACACACAGAUGCCUCUGAGAAAGCCGGUUGCAGAUGACACACGCCCAGGCUCAGUGCAGGUGACCUGUGGGCAUGGAAAGUAGUACAAUUCAGGGAUGUUUGCUUAUCGCUUAUUAUGUAUUUAUAAUGGUGUCGUAUGGAAUAUUUUAUUGAAAAGGCCAGAAAGGUCUUCUUUACCCACGUGUUUCUG
rnacentral:lncRNA from 1 species